CAGGCCUAAUACAUGCAAGUCGAACGAUAGUUGGGGCUUGCCCCAACGAAAAGUGGCGCACGGGUGCGUAACGCGUAUGCAACCUACCUUAAUCAGGGGGAUAGCCCGAAGAAAUUCGGAUUAACACCGCAUAAAAACACAGAGCAGCAUUGCUCAAUGUUCAAAUAUUUAUAGGAUUAAGAUGGGCAUGCGUGACAUUAGUUAGUUGGCGGGGUAACGGCCCACCAAGACCACGAUGUCUAGGGGAUCUGAGAGGAUGACCCCCCACACUGGUACUGAGACACGGACCAGACUCCUACGGGAGGCAGCAGUAAGGAAUAUUGGUCAAUGGAGGCAACUCUGAACCAGCCAUGCCGCGUGCAGGAAGACAGCCCUCUGGGUCGUAAACUGCUUUUAUUCGGGAAUAAACCUUGUUACGUGUAGCAAGCUGAAUGUACCGAAGGAAUAAGGAUCGGCUAACUCCGUGCCAGCAGCCGCGGUAAUACGGAGGAUCCAAGCGUUAUCCGGAUUUAUUGGGUUUAAAGGGUGCGUAGGCGGCUUAUUAAGUCAGGGGUGAAAGACGGUGGCUCAACCAUCGCAGUGCCUUUGAUACUGAUGAGCUUGAAUAUACUAGAGGUAGGCGGAAUGUGACAAGUAGCGGUGAAAUGCAUAGAUAUGUCACAGAACACCGAUUGCGAAGGCAGCUUACUAUGGUGUUAUUGACGCUGAGGCACGAAAGCGUGGGGAUCAAACAGGAUUAGAUACCCUGGUAGUCCACGCCCUAAACGAUGAAUACUCGCUGUU
rnacentral:rRNA from 1 species